UGGCAAUGACGGGAAACGGGGAAUUAGGGUUCGAUUCCGGAGAGGGAGCCUGAGAAACGGCUACCACAUCUAAGGAAGGUAGCAGGCGCGCAAAUUACCCAAUCCUAAUACAGGGAGGUAGUGACAAGAAAUAACAAUACAGGACUUUUUGGUUUUGUAAUUGGAAUGAGUUAAGUAUAAACCCCUUUACAAGUAUCAAUUGGAGGGCAAGUCUGGUGCCAGCAGCCGCGGUAAUUCCAGCUCCAAUAGCGUAUAUUAAAGUUGUUGCAGUUAAAAAGCUCGUAGUUGGAUUUCUGUUAAUAAUUUAUAUAAAAUAUUUUGAUGAAUAUUUAUAUAAUAUUAACAUAAUUCAUAUUACUAUAUAUUUUAGUAUAUGAAAUUUUACUUUGAGAAAAUUAGAGUGCUUAAAGCAGGCAUAUGCCUUGAAUACUCCAGCAUGGAAUAAUAUUAAAGAUUUUUAUCUUUCUUAUUGGUUCUAAGAUAAGAAUAAUGAUUAAUAGGGACAGUUGGGGGCAUUUGUAUUUAACAGUCAGAGGUGAAAUUCUUAGAUUUGUUAAAGAC
rnacentral:rRNA from 1 species